UCACUCUCUUUUUCCUCAACGCUUCCAUCCAUCGCACCACAUCACCGGAACCUCCCCCAAGGUAUGAAUCCACAUCCUUCGUUAACAUCUCCAUUUGCUAGGGCAUUUCAAUCCGGCGAGAGUUGUGGUCCGGGAAAGUGAAGAUGGAGAUGAGGAGGGCAAUAGUGGUGGUGGUUGAGGGGUGAAAAGAGUGGAGGAGAGUGAUGAGUGGGAGAGUGAUGAGUAAAAGAGUGAUGAGCGAUAGUUUAGCUAGAACUUCGCCAAAAGGUCGCUGAGAAGGAUCGCUCCAUUGCUGAGCUCCAGGAAGGCUCUCGUAUCUCGAGCACGUUUUUCAGGAUGCCGAUGCUCGGCUCCAUUCCGUUCUUGAGGAGAAUAUUAAGCUAGCUGUCCAAGGAGCAAGAUUCACUUGCUCUGACUUUGAAGAAAUUGGCCAGAGAUUUGGUGAAGAUGCUUGAGAGAUAACUAACAGAUUAUCUUUGAUAAUCCAGGCCGAAAGGUGAGCUUGUGUGUGUUCAAGUUGUAUGUCCUGGACUUCAUGUUCUUACUAAUCCUAGACUGGAUACUCCAUGGCAUAAGGCACAAGUACUUGGUGAGAGUUUGAAGGAGGUUGAGGAGUAAUGGAGAUAAAGAAAUUGCUGCAAAGGAGAUGGUGGAGAAGUCGAUGGGAAACAGAGUGAAGGCUGAGAAAGAUAGGUUGCCAAACACUGGGUGUGACUGUGAUUGGGAACACAGAUUGAAUUAAAUCUUUGUUGAAACGGACACUGAAAUGCUAAUGAGACCUUCACUUAUCUUGGCCGGCCAUGGAAGGAGUAUUCAAGGACAGUGUUCAUGCAGUCUUAUUUGGGGAGUGCCAUUAGGCCUGAGGGAUGGUUGGUGUAAGGGUCGGUGCCCUUACAUGACCGUCCCUGCCUCUGCCCCUCCUCUGGCCUUGGUGGCGUGACGAGCGCUGCACUGUGGGUUGUUGGCGUGAUCGAGAGGCCAUGACAGUUGGCAUGGCAAGGGGAGUAUGCAUUGGAUACAUUGUACUUCGGUGAGUACAUGAACUUUGGUCCAGGAUCAGGGUUGGGAAACAGAGUCAAGUGGUCCGGAUAUCAUGCCAUCACUGACUUGGCACAAGCUAUAAACUUCACUGUUUCUCUGUUCAUUGAUGCCAACGUUUGGCUUCCUUCCACUGGGGUUAAAUACACCGCUGGGCUGACAUUUUAAAUUAUUAUUUUUGUACCAUCUUGUAUUUCAAUAGAUCUACUUC